UCACAGCAACACCAGAUCCCUAACCCACUGAGAGAGGCCAGGGAUAGAACCCUUAUCCUUAUGGUUCUUAGUCAGAUUCGUUUCUGCUGAGCCACGACAGGAACUCCCCCUGCUCUUUUCUAAUUGGCAUUCAGAUCUCUUUCAGUCCCAGUGCUUAUGAGCCCCUGUUCUUAGGGGGUUGAGAGAGCUAGACCUAACUUUUCUGAGAUUCCCACAGACUUCUGAAGUUUUUACUCUCAGUUUCAGUGGGCUCUGUGGGCACAUCUUGCUUUAUUUACUUUUUUGUAUGCACACUGCUUUAGUUGGGCUAUCAUAAUGCCUUUCCCCCAUUAUCUCUGGUGGGGAAGUGAGUAAUCAAAUUCUAGAUUCUAAACUUCGGUGAGAUAAAGUCAACAGCAUGUGUGGCAUUGAGAUGGCACCCUGCAAAGGAAAAUGACUCCUGGUGGCCCAUAUUGUUUUGGGGCUUGUUUGCGUUGCUGUGCAGUUGUAAUGGAAAACGAAUAAAAAUAAAAAUCCCGGGGCCCAUUUUGGCCAGCGCUUGGGAAUCUAAUCCCACUGUCCUGGCGGAAUUCCAACUCAGGUCACUGCAUUCUGCUGGCAGAAGCCUCCUUGUGCAGUUUUCAGAGGAUGUAACUUUCGGCUUUGCCUCUUUUUCUCAGCUCGCUGUGCAGUGAAUUAAUCAGCUGUCCCCUCCCCACCCUUCCCUGUAUAGUUCCGCAAGGCUCAAAAUGAUCCCCUCCCUUUACCAUAGUGACAGUGGGGCCUGAUCUUAGACCAAGUAAUUAACUUGAUCUGGGGACCGGCCACAGAGAUAUUUGCUGCAGUUGAGAUCUGUGUGCAUGUGUCUUAGUCUUUGAGUGUAGUUAUUCAGUCAUUGGAUCACAGACUCCUAGCAAGAAAAGGUUUUUCAGGAAGCAUCUAGUUUCUUUCCAAAACUCUCUCUAUUUAUAUUCCCUCUCAUUGUUUUGUAACAUUUUGUUAUGCAAAUUUAAAAUGUGUCUUUAUCUGAAGUACUUAGAGGUUUAUCUUCCUUCCACACAGUUUAUGCUUAUGUUGCUUCUAAUUGUUUUACAGAUUUUUUUUUUUUACUGUGUUACUGUCUUUCUGAUAAGAAAUUGCUUUGCAUGGUGUGAGGAAUAGCUCCAAUCUAAUUCUUCUCCAUACAAACAAUCUUGUAUUCCCAACACUGUUUAUUGAACAGUGAUUUCUAACUGUAUGACUUCACUAAAUGACUUAACCUCCCUGAGAAUCAGCUUUCAGUGUCUGGAAAAAUAGGGAUGGAUGAUAAUGAUACCUACCAGACAGUCUUGCCCUAAGGCCGGAGUGAGAGAACACCUCGAAUGCUUGGCAAGUAUGUGUCUAAUAAAUGAUGUCUUCUUUUUCGUCUCCUUUCCUUCCUUUUUAUCUGCAUCCCCCUAUUUUUUCCUAGAAUCUUUUUAAUGUACCCCCCGUUGCUGAAAUCAAGCCAGGCUGGACUGACCCAAAGUUUGUCAAUCCUACACUUUCUGUUGGGAAGCUACUAAAUAGAAAGGUUGGGGGAUGUGAGGAGAGGUCGAAGGCACUUUUCUGGAAAAGACCCAUCCUAACCACACGUGCACUUUGCUGUCAAGUCACCAGGCUGUUGGGGCAGCCCCUCUCUCCCUGGUCCCUCUUAAAGGCUGUUCUUCUGAGGCCUCAAAAUGCCCCCCUCUCGCUGCUGCCAUGUCAGAUCUUUGGGAGAAAUCUGGUUUUUGAAGACAAAGCUCUAUGUGUGGGUUGUUUUAUUUUGGGGGUGGGGUGAGGGUAGGAGUUGGCCAUGGGUUUGCUGCAUUCCAGGAAGAGGGAGGACUCUCCUCUCCUCUGAUGAGUCAUGGAAGAGAAACGUCUAAUGUUUGCAAACAUCUCCAGCCAAGCCUCUGCUUCCUUGUGCUCCACCCAUCCCCCAUCUAGGCAGAUUGGACCCACCUGAGAAGUUUCAGGUUUGAAGCCUCAAGAAGAGGCCAGGGGUUGGGCCGCCUCUGAGGUGGAGAGCGCUAAGAGAAGGGGAGGCUGUUGCCUUGUACCUCUGGACUCCAGCGAGUGAGCCAGCGAGACGGGACCUUACAAUGUGCGUAUCUGCCUCCAAAUCAGGGCAUGAUCUGGGUGGUGCAGGAGGACUAAGUGAACCAACAGGGCUGUCCCCAAGGCCUGCAUGAGAGCACUCCCAAUCAACCCCACGCCGCAGAAGGGUGGGAGAUGGAGAGGAGCCGAGAGUGGGGGACGGGAGCAAAGGGGACCGCGGAGAAGAGACAAGGGCUGAGAAUGGAAGGGAAGCCCUGCUCCUGAGAGCAGCCGGGAGCUCCUGCUUUCCGGGAAAGAUGAAGGCUGAGCGUGCAGGAGCAGGGAGUGGUGGGGGUGAGCUGGGAGAGGACCGUUGCCUCAGCUUCGGCAGGCUGCUGGAGCCAGAUGGGGCUCAGGAUGCAGCCUCCCAGAUGGAGCAAUUGGCUCGUCAGACAUGCUUCCCUCAGGAGACACAGUGUCCCCCUCCCUCCCCCUCUCCCCAAUCAGGAGAGAAUCACAAGGUGACGUGGGAGGGCAGCCAACCUCCUGGGAUCUUUUGUCAACUAUCAGGUAACUACAGCGGGAUCACAAUAGGAGACCCAAACAUGCCUCUGCCACCAACACCCCCUUUUUUUUUCUAUUGUGUGACAUCAAGGGAGUGAGCUGGUCAGCUUGGGAACAAAGAUCCAAUUCUAGGAAUUUGUCCACCGCAACCCUAUCCGCUGCAUUCACAGUCCCUGGAUUUCUGCCCUACAGAAACUCUACCUGCUCACUGUGCUACCGCUACCGCUGGCACCCGGCAGGGAAGGGAGAAUGCUAUCAAGAUGCAGUACCAUCCACUCUUAUGAGGCUGGGCAGUGGCAGCAGGCUGCAGUUCCCAAUCAGCCUCGCUGAUCACAAGGGUAAACAUUGAAACACUUAAAACCAUUUUGCUUUUCACUUUAAAUAAAUUACAUGAGAUAGUCAGU